GCCUGGGUGGCUCAGUCAGUUAAGCAUCUGACUUAGGCUCAGGUCAUGAUCUCGCGGUCCGUGAGUUCGAGCCCUACAUCAGGCU
rnacentral:tRNA from 1 species